AUGUUCCGGCGAGCUGCACGUAAGCUUUGAACCGGAAAUUCCUGAAUGUGACUUCAUAGCUUCGGCUAAUCCGAAAGGAUAGGGAACGCAGGGAAUUGAAGCGUCUUAGUACCUGCAGGAGAAGAAAUCAACCGAGAUGCUGUAAGUAAGAGCGACUGAAAGCAGCAUAAAUCAAACUGAAUCUGUUGUGGAAACAUAAUAGAGAUGUGGUGUGGCUGCUCUUUACCGUAACUAGAAAACUCAAAGUUCCCUGGAAAGGGACGCCUUAGAGUGUGAUAGCCACGUAGAGGUAAUUUAGUCGGUUUUGAACAGUUCAAGAGUACCAUUUACUGGAGACUAAAUGGGAAUAUGGGAGUCAUCAACUUCCAAAAUUAAAUAUUCAGAGAGUCCGAUAGAGAAACAGUACUGUGAAGGAAAGCUGAAAAGAACCCUUAACAGGAAGUUCAAAGAUCCUCAAACCUGAUAGCUAUCGAAUGGCACUGCUCUUCGGAGUUGUGCCGUACGUUUCGAAUAACGUGCCAGGGAGUUUAUCUGAGUGGCAAGGAGAAAUCCAAAGGGAAACCAAUAACCCGCAGUUUACGAGGGGUAAGGUCUGAAAGGGCCUUAAGUCACUUGGAUAUGACCCGAAGUUGGGCGAUCUAGCUUUGAGUAAGGUGAAACGAGGGUAAAACCUCGUGAAGGCCUGAAGAGGUUCUACGGACAAGUGUUCUUCUAACUUGAAGCUAGGGGUAAAAAGCCAAUCGAGCCCAACGAUAGCUGGUUCCUACUGAAAUUGGCCUUAGUCAAGUGUUAGGUCAGACUGCUGAAAUUGUAGAGCUACGGAUUAGGAAUUUAGGUCCUGAAAAGGAUCGGUUCCCUGUCCAACUCCAAAUGUUUCAGCGUUGAAGAUCCUAAUAAACGGGGGCCUGGGGUAAGCUUAGGUCCCAAGAGGGGAACAACCCAGACUAUAGUUAAGGUCCUAAAGUAUCUUCUAAGUGUUAAAGGGUUAAGAGCAUCUGUAGCCUAAGACAGCGAGGAGGUUGGCUUAGAAGCAGCCAUCCUUUAAAAAGUGUGUAACAACUUACUUGUCAAGGUUACAGGUCUUUAAGAUGGACAGGGCUAAGUUGAUCACCGAUACUAUAGACUAGUAAUAAACUAAGUGGUAAGUAGGCGUCCUGUGAGGGAAAAAGCUUUUUCGCGAGAAGGAGUGAACCUCAUAGAAAUGAGAAUCCUGGCGGUAGUAGGAUCUUAGCAGAGUGAGAAUCUCUGCCACUGAAAGGGCAAGGGUUCCUUGACAAUGCAGAUCAGUCAAGGGUAAGUUGAUCCUAAUCUGAUUCACAAAAUAAAUCUUAGAAAGGGAAACAGGUUAAUAUUCCUGUACUGUCCAAGUAUACGCGGUGACGCAGGUCCGGUUUCUGACACUUCUGAAUAGGUAGACACAUGAUCAAUUGUGUUAAUGGGAAUAUAUCAAAGGAGUAUCAUAAUGAUGAGAAUUUGAUCAAAUCCCAGAAAAGUAGGCUGUAUGGCCUAUUCUGCUGAUUUCCGGAGUUCGUAAAAAAGAAACUGGAAAAUAUCUUGGAUAAUCGUACCCAGAACCGGCACAGGUGCCCCUAGGUGAGAAGCCUAAAGUGUGAAGGUCUAAUCCAAUUGAGGGAAUUCGGCAAAAUGGCCCCGUGCCUUCGGUAUAAGGGGUCCCUGUGUUUGUAGUCGUAUGGCUGCGAUCACAGGGUGCAAUAACAAAGGUGGUCCGACUGUUUAACAAAAACUUAACUGACUGCUAGCCUGUAAAGGUGUGUAUAGUCGGUGACGUCUGCCCAGUGUCAGUACUUUAAAACCUGUUUCAACGGGUCUAAGAGCUGAUAAACGGCGGGGGUAACUAUAACUCUCUUAAGGUAGCGAAAUGCCUUGCCGUUUGAAUGACGGCUUGCAUGAAUGGUGUAACGAGAUCACCGCUGUCCCCAAUUGGAAUCCUCCGAACACACCAUUCUGGUGCAAAGGCCAGAGAUCUCCAGUGGGAAGUGAAGACCCCGUGAAACUUUACUGUAGCUUGUUGUUGUGGCAUGAGUUUUUUUGUACAGUGUAGGUAGGAGUCGUUAUGUUCUGGACGCAAGUUCAGAAAUAGACGCCCCUGUAACACUACCCUUUAAAACUCAUGUUGCUAACUUGCCUUCGGGCAAAGACAGCAGUAGGUAGACAGUUUGGCUGGGGUGGCACCCUGCUGAAAGAAUAUCAGCAGGGCCCAAUGGUUGGCUCAGUCCGGUCAGAAAUCGGAUGUAGAGUGCAAGAGCAAAAGCCAGCCUAACUGGGUUCAUACUAAGAUUGAACUCAGGACAGAAAUGUUGGUCUAGCGAUCCUCAAUGUCUUCCUUGAUGGGAGCUUGAGGUGACCGAAAAGUUACUCCGGGGAUAACAGAGUUGUCGCGCCCGAGAGUUCACAUUCAAUUGAAGUGAAUUCAUUUCGUUGAUGAAUAUAUCGACGGCGCGGUUUGCUACAUCGAUGUCGGCUCAUCCUAUCCUGGUGGUGCAGAAGCCGCCAAGGGUGGGGGUGUUCACCCAUUAAAAGGGUUCGUGAGCUGGGUUCAGAACGCUGUGAGGCAGUUUGUUUAAUAUCUACUGGAGAUGUCUGAUGUCUGAAAGGAAGAAUCCCCCAGUACGAGAGGAACGGGGGUUCGAGGCCGCUGGUCUACCUGUUAUCCGACAGGGUAUGCAGGGCAGCUACGCCUUAUGGGAUAAGAGCUGAACGCAUCUAAGCUCGAAACCCUCCUUGAAAAGAGACAUCUUAGGACACAGAUAGAAGAUCUGUUUGAUGGGAUCGGUGUGUAAGUAUG
rnacentral:rRNA from 1 species